ensembl:snRNA U6 U6 spliceosomal RNA
GUGCUUGCUUCGGCAGCACAUAUACUAAAAUUAGAACGAUACAGAGAAGAUUAGCAUGGCCCCUGAGCAGGGAUGACAUGCAAAUUCACAAAGCAUUCCAUAUUUUU